rnacentral:rRNA from 1 species
AACGAACGCUGGCGGCAUGCCUAAUACAUGCAAGUCGAACGAGAUCUUCGGAUCUAGUUGCGCACGUGUGCUUAACGCGUGGGAAUCUGCCCUUGGGUUCGGAAUAACUUCUGGAAACGGAAGCUAAUACCGGAUGAUGACGUAAGUCCAAAGAUUUAUCGCCCAAGGAUGAGCCCGCGUAGGAUUAGGUAGUUGGUGAGGUAAAGGCUCACCAAGCCGACGAUCCUUAGCUGGUCUGAGAGGAUGAUCAGCCACACUGGUAAUGAGACACGGCCCAGAAUACUACGGGAGGAAGCAGUAGGGAAUAAUGGAAAAGGGGCGAAAGCCUGAACCAGCAAUGACGCGUGAGUGAUGAAGGAAUUAGGGUUGUAAAGCGCUUUUACCAGGGAAGAUAAUGACAGUAACGGGAGAAUAAGCUCCGGCUAACUCCGUG